rnacentral:piRNA from 1 species
UAAUAAGAGAAAAUGCCCGAUUGAGAC